rnacentral:lncRNA from 1 species
GGCAUCGACCUUAGUUUGUGUGUAUCUUUUUUGUAGGGACAAGGGAGAUAUAAGUAGAAGAGCAGAAAAAGAGGCAGUAGCCCGUUUAUGUGACGAAUAUGGUAAAAAAAAAUCUAUGCAUGUUAGCCUUAAGCAUCCAGCUUCGCAUCUUUAAUUUUCUUUACAAACCAUUGUUCAUUCUCGUGAUCUUUUCGUCCUUUUGAAGUGAGACCACAGCUCAGGGACUGCAUUCAGGUGGUAGCCGAGGUAGAGGACAGGGGGUGGAGAGGGAGAACCUCAGGGGCCGCCAAUAGCUACGGUCCACUGCUGCGCGCUCAUCUUGGGCAGCGGUAUUUACGGUAAAGGAGGGGGCGGGAGAGGGGGAGGGGGGACCGCCAGAGCUGUCCGUUCUCCCUCCGUGUCAGGUGAUCUCGAGCUAGGAGCCGAGCCCAGCCGAGCCGUGUAGCUGCCGCUGCUCCUGCUGCCUAAGGAAAAUGCAAAAUGGCACAUUGGGGAUGUGAGGGAUUCUGCCACUCGCUUUCGCGGCCCAGAUCCACCGCAUCCUCUCUCCGCAGUUCGCGGGCAAGCAUGCGGCUGUAGGUCCCUGCCGGGCUGUCCCCGGGUAUCCUAGCCAAAGUGGUGGUGAUUCGGCAGCGGCUGCUGCCGGAGCAGGGGGGGGGGGGGGGAGACCGACGAGAGAAGGUGUUUCCUCUCGGCUCCCCCCCACCCCGAACCCCCCUCCCCUGCCUUCUCCUCCUCUUCCUCCUUUUCCUCUUCCCCCUCCCCCUCCCUGCCUCCUCCCCCUCUUCUGCCUUCUCCUCCUCCUCCUCCUCCCCUUUUACCUCCUCCUCCUCCUCCUCUGGCUCCCCACACCCCGCUCCAUAGUGAAACAUGGGACUGUGCUACAGUCUGCGGCCACGGCUCUUUGGGGAUCCCAGCGGCUCCACUUCCAAUGCCACGACCUCGGAAUCGGAGCCGCCACCACCGCAGCAGCAGCAACAGCAACAGCUGCCCCAGCAGCAACCGGACCGCACCGCCCUGCCACCACUAAGCUCCGGGGAGCUUCGCCGUCCCGGGGACCCACGGACAGCGGCUGCGAUCAGGGUUGGGAGUGGAGAAGGUGGCGGUGGUAGCAGCAACGGUGGAGGUUGCGUGGGGGAAGCGGUGGUGUCAACAGCAGCUGCAGGGUCGCUCAGCCACGGGGACGUCGCGGGCAAGCAGCUGUGCGUCGGGGACCGGGACGGAGCGCUAGUCCUGCAGAACGGUGGCGGUGGCAGCGGCAGCGCUGGGAAUGGGGCGGCGGAAAGGCAGCAGAAGCACCCGCAGCAGCCCAAGCAGCAGCCCAAGCAGCAGCCGCCGAAGCAGCAACAGAAGCAGCAGCAGCCUUCGAAGCAGCAGCAGCAGAAACAGCAACAGCAAAAACAGCAGCAGCAGAAACAGCAGCAGCAGAAGCACGGCAAGCAGAAGCAGCAGCCGCUCAAGCAGCACUGGGACAAACUGCGCGUGGAGGAACGUGAGGCCGAGAGGGAAGCGAAGAAAGUGAGCAAGAGCAUCGACCGGGCGCUCAAGGAGCAGAAGAGGGAGUACAAACAGACUCACAGACUUCUCUUACUGGGCGAGAUGACAAACGGAUUGGAUUCCAUGGGACUACAACAACCAACCAGGAGGUCAAAAAUUUUAUGGAGCAAUGACCUAGAUAUUUUCAUAUACAUCAUAAUUGGUAAUUGA